rnacentral:rRNA from 1 species
AUUGAACGCUGGCGGCAGGCCUAACACAUGCAAGUCGAACGAGUGGCGGACGGGUGAGUAAUGUCUGGGAAACUGCCUGAUGGAGGGGGAUAACUACUGGAAAAGGUAGCUAAUACCGCAUAACAUAAGAAGUGCCCAGAUGGGAUUAGCGAGUUGGUGGGGUAACGGCUAACCAAGGCGACGAUCCCUAGCUGGGCUGAGAGGAUGACCAGACACACUGGAACUGAGACACGGUCCAGACGCCUGCGGGAGGCAGCAGUGGGGAAUAUUGGACAAUGGGCGCAAGCCUGAUGCAGCCAUGCCGCGUGUAUGAAGAAGGCCUUCGGGUUGUAAAGUACUUUCAGCGGAGAGGCGUUACCCGCAGAAGAAGCACCGGCUAACUCCGUGCCAGCAGCCGCGGUAAUAC